GAGUUUGAUCUUGGCUCAGGACGAACGCUGGCGGCGUGCUUAACACAUGCAAGUCACGGGGGCUCGCAAGAGCAACCGGCGAACGGGUGCGUAACACGUGAGCAACCUACCGAUUUGCGGGGGAUAGCUGCCCUAACGGGCAGGUAAUACCGCAUACGCUCUUUUGGUCACCUGACCAGGAGAGGAAACCUCCGGGGCAAAUCGAGGGGCUCGCGGCCUAUCAGCUAGUUGGCGAGGUAACGGCUCACCCAAGGCGACGACGGGUAGCUGGUCUGAGAGGAUGGCCAGCCACAUUGGGACUGAGAAACGGCCCAGACUCCUACGGGAGGCAGCAGUGGGGAAUCUUGCGCAAUGGGCGAAAGCCUGACGCAGCGACGCCGCGUGGGGGAUGAAGGUUUUCGGAUCGUAAACCCCUGUUGCCCGGGACGAACUUCUCCAUUCGUGGAGAUUGACGGUACCGGGUGAGGAAGCACCGGCUAAC
rnacentral:rRNA from 1 species